GACGAACGCUGGCGGCGUGCUUAACACAUGCAAGUCGAACGGAAAGACCCUGCUUUUGUGGGGUGCUCGAGUGGCGAACGGGUGAGUAACACGUGAGUAACCUGCCCUUGACUUUGGGAUAACUUCAGGAAACUGGGGCUAAUACCGGAUAGGAGCUCCUGCUGCAUGGUGGGGGUUGGAAAGUUUCGGCGGUUGGGGAUGGACUCGCGGCUUAUCAGCUUGUUGGUGGGGUAGUGGCUUAACAAGGCUUUGAUGGGUAGCCGGCCUGAGAGGGUGACCGGCCACAUUGGGACUGAGAUACGGCCCAGACUCCUACGGGAGGCAGCAGUGGGGAAUAUUGCACAAUGGGCGGAAGCCUGAUGCAGCAACGCCGCGUGCGGGAUGACGGCCUUCGGGUUGUAAACCGCUUUCGCCUGUGACGAAGCGUGAGUGACGGUAAUGGGUAAAGAAGCACCGGCUAACUACGUG
rnacentral:rRNA from 1 species